CUGAGCUUUAACUCCCCCACACUCUCAAGCGCCCGGUUUCUCCUCGUCUCUCGCCUGCGAGCAAAGUUCCUAUGGCAUCCACUUACCAGAGCCCUCAAAAGGUUGUUACAAGAAAGUCUGCUCCUAGUAGUUCAUCACAUGUAUUGCCACAGAUGCAAGGACUUCCAUCUUGGGAAUCUAGGUAUGUAAUGCACACAAUAUCCUCCAGGUAGGCCUUUCUGCAGUUGACAGUAUUAUUCACCAUCAUGAAUGAAAUGAGUGAGGAUGCCACCAGACACUUAGAAUUUCACAAGUCCUUAUAUUCUAUUCUACUGUUACCACUCCAAUAUAAAUUAGCAAUCAGGUAGUAGAUGCUUUGAUCAAGACAGAAGUCCUCAAGGACACAAAUGACUUACCCCAGAAAGCCAAAACUAAAAGACUAUUGGCAGUUUUCAUUUAUCUAAUUUCAGUGGGAAUACUACUAGGCUUGGUCUGUAUCCAUGAUAUUAACAUAACCAAAAGAAGCCUGGUUUCCACAGUACUUUUUCUUUUCUUUUCCUUCACCUUGGGACACAAACUCAUCAGAAUAUUUGUCAGCAGAAGUAGGGGAUGAAAAAUAGUAAGAGGUCAGGAUAUGUCAUUCUGUCAGUUUUCCAGUUUCUCUCUGUUCAUCUCUUUUAAAUACAAGUAUUCAAGCCCAAGAUGGCAAUAGAUGGGCUCAACCACACGUAAGAAAAGAAAAUACUCAUAAAAUGAAGCAUGCAGCAACAUCACAAAAACAAAGAAACCAAGUGGUGGAAAUUGCCAUGACUAUUCCAUUGUGGCUAGUUAUUGCAACAUGCCUGACAUUCACAUAAAAACUCUUCCUCAUUAACUCCAGCCUUAAGGAACAGAGCAAGAUGGCAACACUAACCCUUCAAUGCAUCAUGGGAACUUCUGUUCAUCAGAUUCUUGUGCUGUACAACUGCUUCCCAGGAGCAAGACAAGCCUGGGUGGAGACUGCAAAAAACCUUUCCAAUGUCCCUCAAAUAUCAUUUUAAAUACAAUGGUUUUGAUGCAUAGAAUGGUAUCCUAGGGGCUUGCAGAAGCUUCUAAAACUUCCCAAAUGAUGGGAACAGCUUAGCUGGAAGAGAAAAAAAUAUAGUGCUACACCCAACUUUAAUCAAUAGCUCAUGGAAAAAAACACUGGGAAAGUUAGGAGUCAUCAACCUGGAGAUCCCCAAAAUCUCUUCAUUUAUAAGAGCCCAAGAGUGGGAAUGUCAUUUUAUUUAGGUGUGAUUUUCAUGAACCUCUAACAUUCCUAAAAUAUUUACCACUGAAGAGGUAUAGUGCUUUGGUUGAAUUUUUUUCUUUUUUUUUUUUUCUGGCCAAGAAUGUAGAUCUGCAAUGUUCUUAUAUUCCAUGGGUUAUAGUAAAAAUGCAGUUGUUCUUGUACCAGUACAACCCUGGAAUGACUCAGAAUGAGAUCUGUACCUCUUCUGGGCUGAAUUGGUCAGCAGGGGUGAGGGAGGGUGGUAAUGAGAGACAGUGAGAAAGGAAAUCAUGUAGUUCCAAAAUGAUACUCUCCCUUACCCAUGAGCUCUCCAUCGUGCUUAGGAAUCAUACUCUGGCAGCCCUUCAGCCAGAUAGGUGGGAACUGCAGCCCAGUCAGUAUCUUCCCUCUCUAGAGACCAGUGUUGUAUGUGCCUCAACCGCUGACUCAGGGCAGCUGACUCAGCAGACAGGCCCCUGCUGCCAGCUCCAGUCCAGUUCUCAUUCAUCAGAGAAAUAUUCAGUGAGUACACACUCUGUCCAAGUAUUGGGACUAAAGGAAUUAACACUUGUAGGCAUUGUAUAUGGGAGGAUAUUACAGAAAACUUUUUGCCCAGUGUCUUAGUUGUAGCAAACCCUCAAGAAAUGGGGACUCUUUGCAUAUAUUACCUCAUCUAAUUCUCAAAUCAAAUGUAUGAUGUGGCUAUGAAUAAUCUCCUACUUAGAAGCAAAGAAGUUGAAGCUCAGUAAACAGUUAAAGAGAGUCAGAGACAGAGCCAAGUAUGCCAGUUUAGAAGCCCCAAGUUCAAUCAACAUUACUGUACUACAGAAUAAUUGUGCAUGCUCUUUGAAUGUGUAUAAAACAUAUUGCAGGUGUAUAAAGUGCAAAGCAUCUUGUGGUCAGUGUUAGAUGAGCACAAUGAAGUUUGUAGGGAGUGUGGAGGAGGCAGGAAUAAUUUCCUGCAAUGUGACAUGGAGUAGCUUGGCUGUUUGAGCUGGACUUCAAAGAAUGAGUAGAGAAGUGAUAAGCAAAGGAGACCAUUUCAAGUAUAGGAAUCAGCAUCAAAAGGGGCACAGAAGGCAUAAGUCCUGCAUAGCAAGCAGCUCACUCAAAGCUAGAGUACAAAAUAGGAACAUCCACUGUCUCACAGCAAUGAAACUCUCCCGAAGGAACAUCCUGACAGCAAAACUUCAGAACUGCUAUUUGAGUCACCCUGAGUGCUCUGACAGUAAACCACUUACAAACUUGCAAAGAACUAUGAUCAGAUUCCUCCUCCCACAAAGUGUCCGUGAAAAGAAACAAAUUUGAACCCCAAAAUACAGAUAAGUUGAGCUAAUAGCACCAGUGAUAGUAUGCCUAGCUAUUAAAACACAGACACACACACACACACACACACGAGCUGGCAACAGUCCAGUUACGUAGAAAUGCAGUGGAAAAAGUUAGUGUUUGCCAACUUUAAGGGGGGAACUAAAUGUGUAAAAUGGAAAAUUUCCAUUUUACUUUCCUGAGUAGUACAAAUAGUGGAAUGCAGCAAAUUUCACAUUAUGUUAUCAGUGUGUGAUAUACUAAGAAAACUUAAGCUGAUUUUUCUACUAAUUUGUCACAAGUAUGUUCAGCCCAAACUCUUCGGCUCACAUACAUGUCAGUGAUGUAAUUUUUUAAAAAAUUCUUAUUUACACAUAUCGCAUUCACAACAUCAUACCUCUUUUCCUUUCUAAAGUCAAAACUGUAAAUCAGAGUCUAAAAUGUGUCAGACCAAAUGCAACUGACCAAAAUUUCAAAUAUUUCACUCCAUACAAUAUCUCUCAAUCUUGUCUAAUUGGUGAAAUGUUUCUUCCUUUUUUAUACAAACCAAGCUGAGAUGUAUCUAAAAUUCAGAGAAAGGUUGAUGAUGUAUUCCUUGACAUAUUACUUAGGUAUAUCUACAAAGAGCUUACCAUAACAAACAUAAAUUCAUAGAUAAAUACAAUAUUCCGCAGGCAGCCAGUUAUUCUUUCACCAUUUAACAUCUAUACUGGCCAACUAUAUGUGAUGUUGUAAAAUUAAUUAUCUAAUCACAAUGCCAUCUUAUCUAUAACUACCUUCUAUAAAUGCCUCUUAAUGACCAUAACUUACUUUUCUUCAUAUGCCUUUCAUGGCCUAGCAAUAGUACUGGGCACUAGUAAGUAACUAAUGCUAAUCUGAUAAAUGGAUUAAUUAAUGAGAGAAUGAAAGAAUGGUUUCUUCACCUUCAGAGAUGAUAAAUGACACAACUCAUUGUUAUGUAUGUGUAUAAUCAUUUCAGUGUUCCAAAAGAGACUAACAGAUGCUCUUUGAAUGUGUGCAAACCACACUGCAAGUAUACAAAGUACAAGGCGUCUUGUUAUCAAUGUCAGAUGAGCACAGUUAGUGUGUAGGGAGUGUGAAGGAGGCAGGAAUAAUUUCCUACAAUGUGAUAUGAAGUAGCUUUCUGUACCCCUAGGCUUUUUAUUAUAAACUGAAGAUUUAAAUAUUGCUUCCUAUUUCUUGAGGAAGAAAAUUCAAAGACUUUAUGCAAUGCUUAGAAUAAGGAGGAGAGCCUGUCUGCGCCCUGCUCCAGUGACCCUCUCCUGUCUGACACCCACUACUAAACCAGGUCAGUUGCAUCAUACCCUGAAUUCUAGCCUCAAAAUAAAAAUAUAUACUAAAUAAUGGGGAGAAAAGGGAAGAAAAGAAAUGGAAAAUAGGGAACGAGGGUGCAGAGAAGAAGGUGAAUUAUUUAAAAACUAGUGGAAAUGAAGAAGGCAGCGCAGCACUGAUACCUCAGAAUAAUUGAGAGCAACUAGUUAGUUUGGGGCAGAAUUAAGCUCUGGAACAAAAGCAAUUCAGUGGCUUUUCAGACUCCUCCCCAACUCACCUCAAGUCUUAAAUAUACCUGCAAAGGGGUUUGAAAAAACUUGGAGAUUUUCCACAAAUCCUAACUUCUUACGAUGUUAAAAGCACUCAGGAGAUUUUCACGUGUAUACACAUUUCUUUUCUUGUUUAACCCUAUACAGCAGGGAAGAGUGUAAUUUUAUUGUCCAUGGAACAAAUGACCAAUUGCCCCCAAAGCAGACCUGCCCCGGGUAAGAGUGUUGACUUCCUUCAGGCUGGGGACACUGCCCCAAGCUCAUGAUCUACAUUUUUUUUCACUUCAUUCUCACAACAUCCGAAUCAGGUAAGAUCUAGCACAACUUCCAUUUUACAGAUGAGAAAAGAGAGGCAGAGAGAGGUGGAAUAUCUCCCCACUGUCACCCAACUCAUGUGGGACUAGCCAAACUUCUACCUAUUAACCAUUGCUCUAUUACCUUUUCAGGGCAGGAAACCCUACUUCCACCAGACAUGUAUUUGUUUAUUCACUCAGGCAGGUGGUAUGUUGGAAGAAGAGUGGACUUUGGAAUCAGAAAACCUGGAAUCCCAACUUCACCGCUAACCGAGAGACCUUGAGCUGGUUCCUAAACCACGGGGAACUUCAGUUCCACUACAUGAGUUAUUGCAAAGGUUGAAUCGGAAUUGUGACACUGGCCAGCACACGUGUGAAACCAGGGGCAUCCCCUAUUGAUAAGGAGCCCAGCCCAAGAGCUUCAAGGGAAAUUGACCCCAGCCCCAGCUCCACUGAUGGGCUCGAUGAUUCAGAGAGGAAUCUCACUCCCUUGGUCAAAGUGAAUGGCUCAUAAAUCUGGGCCUAAGUCAAUCCGUGCAAGACAUUCCCCUGGCCAUAGGGAUUGGUUAAAAAAUGGACAUGUAACCCAGUUUGGGCUAAAUGAGAUGUGAACAGGAAAGUUAUUUGAUAGCUUCUGAGGAAGGUAGCUUCUCUUCUUUCUAGAGAGCCACUGGAAAGGUAGCCUUUUCUCCUCUGUGUUGUGGAGAGAAAAAAAAAGUGAAACUGUCUCCCUCUCAGCCCACACAGAAGGCUCACACUUGGUGAAGGGAAGGGUGGAGAAGAUUACAGAGAAUAGCCCUGAUGGAACCACACCUGAUUUCUACCUGACCUCUUAAUUUUUUCAUUUGUACAAGUCAGUAAAUGCCUUUUAAUUUUUAAACAAAUAAUUACAGCAACUUAUAGAGGUACCUAAGGUAUUAAGUUACCAUCAUGAAUACAAAGAUAAGCAAGACAAACUUCAAGGGGCUCACCACCUAAUAAAUAUUAUACUUUGCUUUUAUGACAUCAUUUUAGUCUUUUUUGUUGUUUUUUGUUUUUGUUUCUAAAUAGGAUCUUGCUUUAUCACCCAAACUGUAAUGCAGUGGUGUGAUCAUAGCUCACUACAGCCCCGACCUCCUGGGCUCAAGUGAUCCUCUUGCCUCAGCCUCCUAAGGAGCUGGGACUACAGGUGCGUGCCCAGCUAAUUUCUUUUAUUUUUGUAGAGGCAGGGGGGUCUCGCUAUGUUGCCCAGGCUGUGGGUUUUUCAGGGUAAAGUUAUGGCUCAUUCUCUCUUCAGGACCCUGCUACCAUUUGGUCAAUUUAAUAUUAUGCAAGAGAAAUUCCAUUUCCCUAGUAGUUACACAAUGCCCGCUUUCAGACCAGCUAGUCAACCCUGUGAGGGUCAGAUAGAGUAGUUUAUCCAUUUGGUUGUCAGACAACUGCCUCGAACAGCCAGGCCAUUUCUACAUGUUCUCAGUUACUGGUUAACAAAUGUUGCCCCAGAAUUCAGCACCUAAUAGGAAAUACAUUCAUUUCCAAAUUCCUACUGAAAUAGGAUUUUUCUCAUUCCUAGAUAAAACAGAGGCACCCAGAUUUUCCUGGAAUGGCAUUCAGAAAUAGAGAAGGAAUCAUAGAGAAAUGUCUGCCCAGGCAUCUCUGAGUCUCAUGCCUUUUUGCUGUUGCUGCUGUUAUGACUCCUACCUUGGAAAGUUUCAGUCAUCCUUGAACAUCCUCCCCACCCCCAUGCUUUCCUGUCUUCUGUUUCAUAACUAAAUGCCAUUUAAAACUCUAGCUAUAGAUACCCCUUGCUGAUAUAAGCAACAGAAGUAGAGAGUCCUUAGAUUCUAGACUGAAUUUAGGGCCCAACAGUUAGACAAUUGGAACUUGAUAAUAACGUUAUCUCAGCAGAUUGCGUAAGUCAGAAAUGUUCUCCCUGUCACUGCUUUCUUUUUCCUUCCAGCAAGAAGUGGACAUUAAGGAGAAAGUGAAGGUGGCAAGUUAUGAGUGAUCUGUUUAAGACACAGUUUAGUUAUGGCAAUGAUAACAACUCACAUUUAUUAGGGGCUUAUUAUGUAUCAGGCUGAGCAAAGUACGUAAGAUUCUUGAUCUCAUUUAAUUCUCACAGUGUAGAGGCUAAUGAGUGGUGGAGGUGAGAGGAGGACGCAGCCUCCCUUGGCUCCAGGGCACACACUCUUAGCUGUAACACUCUAUUGCCUCCAUAAAGUAUGCUUAAUUGUAAUACAUGUUGAUGAGAUAUGUGAUAAACAUAAUUUAUGUAAAAUUUAAGAACAAGAUCUAUUGUAUAAAUUA
rnacentral:lncRNA from 1 species